GUGCCAGCCGCCGCGGUAAUACGUAGGUGGCAAGCGUUGUCCGGAUUUACUGGGCGUAAAGCGCGCGCAGGCGGUUUGGAAAGUCCGUGGUGAAAUCUCUCGGCUCAACCGAGAGGGGUCUGCGGAUACUUCCAGACUUGAGUGGCGUAGACGAAGGUGGAAUUCCGGGUGUAGUGGUGAAAUGCGUAGAUAUCCGGAGGAACACCAGUGGCGAAGGCGGCCUUCGAGGCGCUAACUGACGCUGAGGCGCGAAAGCGUGGGGAGCGAACCGGAUUAGAUACCCUAGUAGUCC
rnacentral:rRNA from 1 species